GACGAACGCUGGCGGCGUGCUUAACACAUGCAAGUCGAACGGAAAGGCCCUGCUUUUGUGGGGUGCUCGAGUGGCGAACGGGUGAGUAACACGUGAGUAACCUGCCCUUGACUUUGGGAUAACUUCAGGAAACUGGGGCUAAUACCGGAUAGGAGCUCCUGCUGCAUGGUGGGGGUUGGAAAGUUUCGGCGGUUGGGGAUGGACUCGCGGCUUAUCAGCUUGUUGGUUGGGUAGUGGCUUACCAAGGCUUUGACGGGUAGCCGGCCUGAGAGGGUGACCGGCCACAUUGGGACUGAGAUACGGCCCAGACUCCUACGGGAGGCAGCAGUGGGGAAUAUUGCACAAUGGGCGGAAGCCUGAUGCAGCAACGCCGCGUGCGGGAUGACGGCCUUCGGGUUGUAAACCGCUUUCGCCUGUGACGAAGCGUGAGUGACGGUAAUGGGUAAAGAAGCACCGGCUAACUACGU
rnacentral:rRNA from 1 species